rnacentral:rRNA from 1 species
CACCGCGGUUAGACGAAUGACCCAAGUUGACAGAACACGGCGUAAAGGGUGGUUAGGGAAUAUAAUAACUAAAGCCGAACACCUUCCAAGCUGUUAUACGCUUAUGAAGAACUGAAGCACAACUACGAAAGUGGCUUUAAUUCACCUGAAUCCACGAAAGCUAAGAAA